rnacentral:tRNA from 1 species
GCAAUUUUAGUUUAUGUAAAAUAAUAGUUUGUCUCACUAUAGAAGGUUAUUAAACCAAGUUGCU